GACGAACCGUGCGAACGUUGUUCGGAAUCACUGGGCUUAAAGGGCGCGUAGGUGGCCUCGUAAGUCCGCUGUGAAAGUCAAAGGCUCAACCUUUGAAAGCCGGUGGAUACUGUGAGGCUAGAGUACGGAAGAGGCGAGUGGAAUUCCUGGUGUAGCGGUGGAAUGCGCAGAUAUCAGGAGGAACACCAAUAGCGAAGGCAGCUCGCUGGGACGUAACUGACACUGAGGCGCGAAAGCGUGGGGAGCGAACAGG
rnacentral:rRNA from 1 species